rnacentral:rRNA from 1 species
UACGUAGGGCGCAAGCGUUGUCCGGAAUUAUUGGGCGUAAAGAGCUCGUAGGCGGCUUGUCACGUCGGGUGUGAAAGCCCGGGGCUUAACCCCGGGUCUGCAUUCGAUACGGGCUAGCUAGAGUGUGGUAGGGGAGAUCGGAAUUCCUGGUGUAGCGGUGAAAUGCGCAGAUAUCAGGGGGAACACCGGUGGCGAAGGCGGAUCUCUGGGCCAUUACGUGACGCUGAGGAGCGAAAGCGUGGGGAGCGAACAGG